UACGGAGGGGGCGAGCGUUAUUCGGAAUUAUUGGGCGUAAAGGGCGCGUAGGCGGCUAGGUAAGUCAAAGGUGAAAUCCCUCGGCUCAACUGAGGAACUGCCUUUGAAACUGCCUAGCUUGAGGCCGGGAGGGGGUGGCGGAAUUCCCAGUGUAGCGGUGAAAUGCGUAGAUAUUGGGAGGGACACCAGUGGCGAAGGCGGCCACCUGGACCGGUUCUGACGCUGAUGCGCGAAAGCGUGGGUAGCAAACAGG
rnacentral:rRNA from 1 species